UCCAGCAACGCCAGGCUGGGGGGGAGGGGUGUGUCUGGCCUCUGUUCCACCCUGCUUCUAGAAACCUGAGGUCAGAGAGAGACAAAACAUAUCAGCAAGAAGGAGAGUAUGAAGCACCUUCCUUGUUUGGUCAGGGAAUGCCAGGAGCUAGUUGUUAACCCCCUGCUCUGUACCAUCGAAUCCUCUCAGCGCUGCCCAGGGCACACAGGCACGAGUCGUCCCUCGUCCAGCAUAUACUCGCAGCGGACAGUCGUCUCCAGCCAUCUCCGCCAAAAGGUCAACUGUCCUGGUAUCACAGUGCUUGUAUCCAAGUACCCCUUGGUUUGCUGAAUAAUCACCUCCAGGAGCAAGAGUGGUGAUGCUGGCAAUUCAGAGAGGCCAAGAGAAACCUACAGCACUUCCAAUAAGUGAAAAGGCGAAAGUUCUUGAUUUAAGGGGAAAAACAAA